rnacentral:rRNA from 1 species
CCUACGGGAGGCAGCAGUGGGGAAUAUUGGGCAAUGGGCGCAAGCCUGACCCAGCAACGCCGCGUGAAGGAAGAAGGCUUUCGGGUUGUAAACUUCUUUUCUCAGGGACGAAGAAAGUGACGAUACCUGAGGAAUAAGCCACGGCUAACUACGUGCCAGCAGCCGCGGUAAUACGUAGGUGGCAAGCGUUAUCCGGAUUUACUGGGUGGAAAGGGCGUGUAGGCGGGACUGCAAGUCAGAUGUGAAAACCACGGGCUCAACCUGUGGCCUGCAUUUGAAACUGUAGUUCUUGAGUCCUGUAGAGGCAGAUGGAAUUCCUAGUGUAGCGGUGAAAUGCGUAGAGAUUAGGAGGAAUACCAGUGGCGAAGGCGGUCUGCUGGACAGCAACUGACGCUGAGGCGCGAAAGCGUGGGGAGCAAACAGGAUUAGAUACCCUGGUAGUC